rnacentral:rRNA from 1 species
CAGGAUGAACGCUGGCGGCGUGCCUAACACAUGCAAGUCGAACGGAGAACCCGCCCUCGGGCGGUUAUGAAGUGGCGAACGGGUGAGUAACACGUGACCAACCUGCCCCGCGCUCAGGGACAGCCUCGGGAAACCGGGAUUAAUACCUGAUGCGCCCCCGCCCCCGCAUGGGGAGGGGGGAAAGCCCAGGCGGCGCGGGAUGGGGUCGCGGCCCAUCAGGUAGACGGCCGGUAGAGGCCGGCCGUGCCGACGACGGGUAGCCGGGUUGAGAGACCGACCGGCCACAUUGGGACUGAGAUACGGCCCAGACUCCUACGGGAGGCAGCAGUGGGGAAUAUUGCGCAAUGGGGGGAAAAACCCCCUGACGCAGCAACGCCGCGUGCGGGACGACGGCCCUCGGGUUGUAAACCGCUUUCAGCAGGGAAGACAUCGACGGUACCUGCAGAAGAAGCCCCGGCUAACUACGUGCCAGCCGCGGC